UAUGACUUUAUAACUUUUAGACCAUGAUGCCAAACUUGGCGUGUGAUACCUUUUCGGAAAGCCCAAAGAGAGUCCUCUGACGAAAGAAGCAGGAUAGUAGGUAAGAGUAC
rnacentral:sRNA from 1 species